UAAGCAAAGGACAGAAGUUCAACAAACUUAUAUGACAAAGUGAACCUCUUACCUAUGUUGAAUCACUCUGAUGUUAUGUCUUGUUUCUGGCUCUCCUCAAUCCAAUGUUCAAUAAAAAUCAAGAAGCUUUUCUCCACAAUAAUUGCUUCAGUAUUUUUUGGACCUUUUGCCAUGGUUCAGUCUCAGAUGGCUUGCUUUAUCUAACUUCACAGUUCACACGAUACGGACGAGGUUUUGGAGUCCAAAAAAAAUCUCAAUGGAUCCAAACUUGAUUCUACCUUCAAAAUUAACCAGUUCCUCUGAAUGGAGAUGAUACAUAUGCUGCAUGUUUUCUUGACAUUUAAUAGGAGAUAGCAAUGAUAGCUCCAUUAUAAAAUAUUAAAAUUAAUGGACUAAAGAUUAAUUUGACCCUAAACUAAGUAUAUUCAAGAGUAUGAUCAUAGUUACAAAUCAUGCUUCUGCACUGAGUACAAGCUAUCUCUUCUUAGUUGUUUUAACAUGAGUAUGGCAAUGCGCAUCUCAUAGGAACCUUCCUUUCAUAGUACAACAUGGAUAACCUUGAACUCACCUAUGUACUUCUUGUCCAUAUCAAGUUGAUCAUUGUGGUGCAAUGCAUCGCCUAUAACUUUUACUGUCCUAAUGGGUGUGAUCUGGCUGGCUUUCUACACUAUACCUAACAUUGUAGUUCUUAGUGCUUGUGAUUCAAUUUCUGGCAUCACUUUCAUGUUGCCAUCAUAUUAACUUUUCUAGAGCAGCUAUGUCAUCAAUUUGUUGAAGCAGGAUUCACAGAAAGGUACUCAAAUUAAGCUUGGUAUGGUUGAGGUGUCUGCUAAAGUUUUCACAGAUAACAUUUCAUGGGCCAGAGCAACCUAAGUCCAAAGUCAACUUUCCAUGAACUUAACGAGUCACAAACUUAGCUGCACCCAAACAGGUGUGAGAAAAAUGUAGAUGAAAUAGGAGUCUUCUUUGCUACUAUAGUACUAACUCAUAGUACUAAAAAAUACACCUGCUUAGGAGGACUGUUAAAUGUGUAUGUAAAUAUAUACUAGUAUACUGGAAGAAAUAUAAUUGGAUUGUAGUUUUAUGAUCAACUAUUGCAUACAUUUGUUCCUUGUCCUUGUCUAAUUACAAAGAAUGGUCUCAGUCUUGUGAAUCUUGCACACAAUCGGUACAGCAAGCUUUUUCUUAUCUGGAGAAGGCAACUAACCAGGAGCUGUAUGCUUGACAGACAGACGAUUGUGUAAGCCAGGACAUUUCCUCUGCCAUCUGGUGUUUCCAUAGAGCAUCCGAAAAGAGAAAGCAUCCUCGAACAGAAAGCCGAGGAACGAAUCUGGAGUCGAAGAGUAUAAUCCAGUUGAGAUGGCAAGAGAUGAAUUUGAAAUUGCUGCUAAUGCAGGAUGGAGUGAAAUGCAUGGUUGAAAGUUGAAACUUCGUGUUGAGGAAGAGAAAAAGAAAAGUAUGUCGAGCUCUUGAUGUGGGUCUUAAUACAAUAAUAAAUUACUGCAAUUUUUAUUAUUAUUGGUAUUAUUAUU